CCCCUCAUUUGAGAGAAUGAGCCACGAAUAGAAAGAAGAGAGGAAGAGAAGAACCUUAAACUUCACUAUUCAUCACAAAUUUCAAAUCCACGUAACUUUCAACUGUAGAUCGAAGAUCCGUUUGUAAUUACGCAUCGCUCUCCACUUCCUCUUCGAUUCUAUACCAUUUUUAAGGGAAAGUUCUAGCAUGGAUUGUAGUUAGCUUCCACACAAGUUUUGAACGAGAUAAGAGUGAAUUGAGUGUUUGGCAUUGGAUUGUUGCGGAAUUGAAUGCUUGGGCUGUUUGCGGAGCACUUGGUGGAGGCUUAGUGCCGUUGAUUGACGUUUCGGUGUGAUCGAGAAGAGAAUUCAAGUGUUGAAAAACUGCCGUCAAUAAGGAGGUUUUUUAUGCUAUCCACCUUCUGGGAUAGCCUUAAGAGGCUGCAGCCGCCACCAACCACUACACCUUCCUCGAUUGCUGCCUGCAAUGUUUGGAGUCAGAAGUUUAGAGAUUGACUAAGCACAGUAUCCCGUUAGGGGAAUUUCUUUGGUGAAGAAUGAAGUUGGAUAAAAAAUGGAGAUUGUAACUACAUUUUAAGGCAAGUGUGCAUUAUACAUGAUAUUUUUAUUUUUUAAUAUUUUUCUUAUUGUAAAACAAACAAUCUUCACCAUUCACCAUAGUAUUACUCUUUUGUUAGAUCUAAG